GACGAACGCUGGCGGCGUGCUUAACACAUGCAAGUCGAACGGAAAGGCCCUGCUUUUGUGGGGUGCUCGAGUGGCGAACGGGUGAGUAACACGUGAGUAACCUGCCCUUGACUUUGGGAUAACUUCAGGAAACUGGGGCUAAUACCGGAUAGGAGCUCCUGCUGCAUGGUGGGGGUUGGAAAGUUUCGGCGGUUGGGGAUGGACUCGCGGCUUAUCAGCUUGUUGGUGGGGUAGUGGCUUACCAAGGCUUUGACGGGUAGCCGGCCUGAGAGGGUGACCGGCAACAUUGGGACUGAGAUACGGCCCAGACUCCUACGGGAGGCAGCAGUGGGGAAUAUUGCACAAUGGGCGGAAGCCUGAGGCAGCAACGCCGCGUGCGGGAUGACGGCCUUCGGGUUGUAAACCGCUUUCGCCUGUGACGAAGCGUGAGUGACGGUAAUGGGUAAAGAAGCACCGGCUAACUACGUG
rnacentral:rRNA from 1 species